rnacentral:rRNA from 1 species
UAGGCAGCAGUGGGGAAUAUUGCACAAUGGGGGAACCCUGAUGCAGCGACGCCGCGUGAGUGAAGAAGUAUUUCGGUAUGUAAAGCUCUAUCAGCAGGGAAGAAAAUGACGGUACCUGACUAAGAAGCACCGGCUAAAUACGUGCCAGCAGCCGCGGUAAU